GAUGAACGCUGGCGGCGUGCCUAAUACAUGCAAGUCGAGCGAACGGACGAGAAGCUUGCUUCUCUGAUGUUAGCGGCGGACGGGUGAGUAACACGUGGAUAACCUACCUAUAAGACUGGGAUAACUUCGGGAAACCGGAGCUAAUACCGGAUAAUAUUUUGAACCGCAUGGUUCAAAAGUGAAAGACGGUCUUGCUGUCACUUAUAGAUGGAUCCGCGCUGCAUUAGCUAGUUGGUAAGGUAACGGCUUACCAAGGCAACGAUGCAUAGCCGACCUGAGAGGGUGAUCGGCCACACGGGAACUGAGGCACGGUCCAGACCCCUACGGGAGGCAGCAGUAGGGAAUCUUCCGCAAUGGGCGAAAGCCUGACGGAGCAACGCCGCGGGAGUGAUGAAGGUCUUCGGAUCGUAAAACUCUGUUAUUAGGGAAAAACAUAUGUGUAAGUAACUGUGCAACUUUUGACGGUACCUAAUCAAAAAGCCACGGCUAACUACUG
rnacentral:rRNA from 1 species